AUCCACGAUAGUAGGAUUGUAUCACACGUUAACUGCACCUAGAGGUUCAUCAUUCCAUUCUGCUGGGUAGCCACUAUAUGCUGCUAGGUGUCACUGGUGGAUGGUGGGACUCAUAGGGAUUAUCUUGAUGAUCGAUAAACCCUAACGAGUUGAGUUAGAAUCGUUCCAACCCAUUGAAAGGAGUUUUCAAUGAUAUAGUGAUAGAGAUCACAAUAUAUCUCACUACCAGUCAGAAUAGAACCUAUGGGGUCACACACACUAGAAGUAUUGACCGAUCCGAUGGUUGAAAUCGUGAUUAGGAAUCACAAGUAAUCAAUUUGAUUGAUAAG
rnacentral:lncRNA from 1 species